rnacentral:rRNA from 1 species
UAGGGAAUCUUCCGCAAUGGGCGAAAGCCUGACGGAGCAACGCCGCGUGAGUGAUGAAGGUCUUCGGAUCGUAAAACUCUGUUAUUAGGGAAGAACAAAUGUGUAAGUAACUAUGCACGUCUUGACGGUACCUAAUCAGAAAGCCACGGCUAACUACGUGCCAGCAGCCGCGGUAAUACGUAGGUGGCUAGCGUUAUCCGGAAUUAUUGGGCGUAAAGCGCGCGUAGGCGGUUUUUUAAGUCUGAUGUGAAAGCCCACGGCUCAACCGUGGAGGGUCAUUGGAAACUGGAAAACUUGAGUGCAGAAGAGGAAAGUGGAAUUCCAUGUGUAGCAGUGAAAUGCGCAGAGAUAUGGAGGAACACCAGUGGCGAAGGCGACUUUCUGGUCUGUAACUGACGCUGAUGUGCGAAAGCGUGGGGAUCAAACAGG